UUUGGGACUUCAGAAUUGGUCUGUCCUCCCCCGGGGUGGAAUCGGUCAGGCCUCGAGAGAAGUCUGGGACUGCCACGCCGGUGCUGCCAGGGCCACCGUGUGCCAGGAAUUGAUGCAGAUCCCUUCAACCCGCCCCCUCCCUGCUGCCCGUAGUGACCGAGCCGAGUGUGUGCCCUGCCCCCCUUUGGGCGACAUGCUACUGUGGACAGCUCUGCUCUUCUUGGGUCCAGUCCUUGGGACACCUGGUCUCCCGAAGGCUGUGGUGGACCUGGAGCCCCCGUGGAUCCUCGUGCUCCGGGAGGACGAUGUGACUCUGAAGUGCCAGGGGGCCCACACAGCCGGGGACCACUCCAUCCGGUGGUUCCAUAAUGGGAGCUCCAUCCCCACGCAGGUCCGGCCCAACUACAGCUUUAAGGCCACCGAGAAGGAUAGAGGGGAGUACACGUGCCAGACGGACCAGACCAGCCUCAGUGACCCCGUGUAUCUGGAUGUGUUUUCCGACUGGCUGGUGCUCCAGACCCCUAGCCUGGUGUUCCAGAAGGGGGAGCCCAUCGUGCUGAGGUGCCACAGCUGGAGGAACAAGCCUCUGUACAAGAUCACGUUCUUCCAGAAUGGAAAAUCCAAGCAGUUUUCUGCCAUGAAUUCCACCUUCUCCAUCCCACGGGCAAACCUCAGUCACAGCGGCGAGUACCAUUGCACAGGGCUGAUAGGGAAGAGUCUGCAGGCGUCACAGCCCGUGGCCAUCACCGUCCAAGGGUCCAGUUGGAGCGACUCCUCAGUGACAGUGAUGAUUGCGGUCGCGGUCGCUGGCAUUGCUGCCGUGGCCAUCCUUGCUGCCGUUGUGGCCUGGUUCCGCCACAGGCAAAAGCAGACUUCAGGAUACCCUGAGCACAGGGAAAUGGGAGAGACCCUCCCUGAGGAACCAGGUGAGUGCAGCUCCCCUGCCUGGGGCUGCCAGGUGGAUUGGAGUCAGCAGGAAGCGGCUUGUGUGAGUUCAGCUGGGAGCGCAGGAGAGGGAGGGGGCAGUGGGAGGAGGACAGGGGCUCAAGUCGCUUGGUCAAUUCUGAGACUAACUCCUGGGCUUCGAGAGGACCUCACUGGGGAUGAGGGGCAGAAGACCACCUGUCCCAGAUAGAGAGGGGAGGGCCGUGUCCGAAUUUCGGAGCCAGGAACGCUGGGAACGUUUCCAGAGCAGGAAAUAAGAGAUAUCUGGGCCUCUCUGGGGGGGUUGGCCAAGCUGGCACGGGACAGAGGUUAGAAGUGGUAAGACUGAGACGAAUAGGAUUGAGAGGAAACGAGGGGGAGACCUAGGGAAUACUCCCAGGACAUGGUGAGGAGUUUCUGGGAGUGAUGCGGUAAGGGUGGGGCAUCAGGGGGAGAUCUGGGCUUGAGAAAGUUCUAGAGGACUGGGUGCAUUCAUCAGUGAGCUUCACUUGUGGGCAAAGCUUGGUUCUGAUGCCCACUUGAGUAAGUUUAUUAAACACGGACGUGGUCCUAGCUCUGUCAUCAUCAUCAGGUGGAAUCUUGAAUGUUCCCCACCAUGGGGGUGCAGGGACCUCCCUGAGGACAGGAGUGGAGUGGCCUGGAUGACCUUGAAGCCCUUCCAGGCCCGACACUCUGAGAGUCAGUGACCAUUCAACCCCCGGCUGAGGUAGGAACAGGAGUAUUCCAGGCGACCUCCUGACUGUAGUUUAGCUGGAGCACGAGGGAACCCAAGACAUUCUCGAGGGGCUCCCCAGCAGCAACAAGAGAAGAACAGGAGGCCCUCGAGGACUCUGGGUCAGACGGCAGGAGUGUGACUCAGAAAAGGACCAACAGAUUCGAGAGCUUGAGCAAAAUGGCGUUCGUCCCGCUGUGCUUUGAGCAAGGCCCUUGCGUUCUUGGCCAGGUCACGCGGGGACGCGGGGCCUGAGCCCACACCAGGCCAAAGCAGAUGUAGAGUAAAGCCCCAGCACAACUGGGAAGAGCCACCUGGAGGUUUGGCUCCGUCCAUACUGGCAUAAAUAUAUUCCACGAGUAUUUAUUUCACAGCCAGGCACUGGGGCUGGUUGUUUCCCAUCAGCUGGCGAGGUUGCUGGGAUUAUUGAGAAAUGUAUUGGAAGGAGAAUUGGGGAAGAGGUUUGCUCCAGACUUUGCAGCAUGGCGAACAGAGACUCUUUGUGUUCAGAGGGGGAGUGGAGACACUAAACGUAUUGUCCCAGACCCUCCAGCCCCUUCCUGAGGAAUGCUGCUUCGCAGAUACUGAGGCUACUUCCCGCCCUGGCGAAGUGAGCUUUUUGGCAAAACACAUGUGGGAAUUUGGUGUGUUUUAGCGAUUUACCAGGGAGUCGACUGGCCUGAUUUGCUUGCUUCCCUCUUUCCCUCCCUCGCUUUCACCGUUGUGCUUUCUUUCCUUUUAACGUCAGGGAGCAUCACCUUCUUCUGAGAGUUCCCAGCAAGAUGCAGGGCAUCUGGCCGAUGCCCAGACGCCCCCCACCCCCACCCCGGGUCUCCUGGGGUUGGCAAAAAUCUGGACUUGACUUCCCUGUGAUACUGAACAGCUCCCAGCUCUUCCCCGGUUCUCAGAUCCCCCAAGCUGGCUAGUUUGCCUCUAGAAAAAGUCAGCCACUCUCUGAAACGCACGCAGCACAGACUGCCUCCUUCUGCCAGCUUGGCCAGGGUGGGGAGCCUGGGUGGUGAACGGAGCUCUUGGCCUACAGGUCCUUCUUGCAGGUCUGGUUCGGGCUUUGUCUUUGCAGCCUCUGCGGCAGUGUGGUAGGUCCUCUUCUGCAACAGUGCCCUGGCUGAUCUCUGUUCUUGUUGCCCACAGCCAAUCUCACAGAUGCUGAAGAUGCAGCCAAAGUUGAGGCUGAGAAUGCCAUCACCUAUUCACUUCUCUUGCACCCGGAAGCCAUAGAGGAAGAAGCAGAGGACCCGGAUUACCAGAACCACAUUUAAUCUCCAUUGUCUUGCCUGAGA